rnacentral:lncRNA from 1 species
UUUUAAUUUUUUUUAUUUUUUUAGCCAUUUUUAAUGCAUUUUUCCCUGUGCACAAGAGAAAUAACUGAUAGAGUCAAAAGAUACAGUUUCCUUUAUACAUAGCAGGUAAAAGUAAUGCAAACAUCACAUGACACUUUUCAGUGAAAGUUACAUUUCCAAUUACAGAUCAAAAUGCUUAUUAGGGUCUCUUUAUGGGAAAAGCUGAGAAGGAAGUCUUAUGUAAAAAGCACUUUCCUGGCAUUACUACACUGAUCCUUCAGGCUGCACAAAAAUUACGGUCAUAUACAGUUAAUUUGAAAAUGUUGACACAAUGUCACACUGUAAGUUUUCUGUACAAUUAAAUGUAUACUUAGAAAUACCAGGAUAAACAUUUCUACUAUAUUUUAACUGAACUUGCCUAGCCAACAUUUUCACUGAAUUUAUCAAAGAUGCUGUAAGAUUCUACAAAACUGUGAGACAUACCUAGCUCCAGAAAUAUUUCUUAUAUUCUUUCUUAUUUUGGUUACACAUAUUCUGCUUAGAUUCUGUUGUAAUAAUUCUAGAUGUACAGUUCCAAUUGUGCUUACUGUACUGUGUAAAACAUAGCAAAAAGAGCAAAUAAUGGUAUAAAUCUUACAGCAUUUUGCUAGCAAAAAUACAUGCCAAAGUCACAAUAAGCAAUAUUGUACCACAAAUUGGAGAGCUUCAAAUAAUUUGCUUGUUUUUAAUAUUUUAAUUCUACAUUAAAUUACUAUUAUAGGCUAAUGUUUAAAAUGCAAAUAAAUUGGACAUCUGUAGGACAAAACUUAUUCACUUAACAGUGAAGGCUGAUACCGGUUUCCAAAAAUCACAAUAAAUGCAGAAUAAAGAGAAGUGUUUGCAUGCAACACCUUUGAGUGAAACAGCAUUGAUUACAAUUACCACCAUUCAAAACAGAGAAGGAAGGAAGAAAGUAAGGAAGGAAGGAAGGAGAAAGGGAUAGAGGGAGGUAGGAAAGAAGGAAGGAAGGCAGGCAGGCAGGAAGGAUAGAUACAGGAAGGAGGGACAGAAGGAUGGACUCCACCUUAAAAUGCAUAUUAGACUUAUAAUUAGAUUUAAAAGAAUCAAAAUGAAAGUAAAGCACGUUUUUGUGUGUGUUUAAAGAUUUAAGAGCCAUUAUCAAAAAUAAGAUACAUUUUUUUCAAGGUACAGAAAUGUAAUUAGGAUGGCUGGGAGCCCAGCAGCCUUUCAAUGGCAGCAUUGAUGUCGCCUCCUGUUGCUAUUAGAGCCUGCAAGUUUGCCUCACGGUUUAAGAACCCCAUUGCGUUGAGCUGUUCCAGUUGUUGCUGAAAUCUGACUUCUGGAUUCGGCAGCUGUGGAGGACUUGCCCCAGCCAGAGCCUGCACCAUUUGCUGAAUGAACUGCUGGUUGGGUCCAGAUUCUGAUGUUGGGCUAGUGGUUUCGGUGGGUGUAGAGCUAGAAACAGUGGGCCCAGGGGGGCCUCCAGAGCCAGUAGAGCCAGGGCCUGCAGGGCCGGUGGGUCCUAUGGGCCCAAUGGGGCCUAUGGGAGUAAAUGGGACUAUGGGGCCUAUGGGGCCUAUGGGUGUGACUGGGCCUACAGGGCCUAUAGCGGUUCCCAGCACCCCUACCCCCACACCUGGAGUGAAGCUUGGAAUGAGGCCAGGAGCUUCAGUGGCUAAUGUCUGUAGCCCCUGCUGGAUCUGCAUUAAAGCCUGCAUUGCUCUUGGGUUUGACAUGGCUGAUAGUGUGUCUGGAUUCUGCAUCUGCUGCAGGAAAGCUGGGAGCUGUGGACGCAUCUGCUCCUGCAACUGAGGAUUUGCAGUAAACACCGGGCUAUUCAGCAUCAUCUGUGCAGCUAAAUCUGGAUUCUGGCUCAGCGACUGCAUCAUGCUUCUCAUGUAGGGUGCAGACAGCAUAUUCUGGAUCAGUUGAGGGUUUUCAGUUAUCUGUUGCAGCAAGCUCUGCAUUCCUGGGGUACUGAAGAUGCUGGCAACAUAGUUGGCUGCAGCCACGGUGUUCCCAGUAGCACUGCUGGAGCUACUGCCAGAGCCACUGCCACUGCUGGAGGUUGUGCUGGUGGUUGCAGAACUCUGGGUAGCCGGUGGUGGUGCCCAUGGAUUGGGUAGUGGAUCUCGAUUUUCUGUGCGGGAAGGUUGUGUACCUUCCCCAGAGGUGGAACUGCUUCCCACCGAGGCAAAUGGAUUACCCCCAAACUGCUCUUGUGCAGCAUUCAGCAUGGGUUCUUGAAUAUCAGUGUACAUGCGUCGUAGAGCAUUGUAGCCACCUGGGAUGCUUUCAAGAUUGCUGAGAGCCAAAUCUUGAUUUCUCAUCAUCUCUUGCAUCAUGGCUGGAUUCCUGGCAAUUUCCAGGGUCUGUCUCAUUAUAUCUGGGUUGUUGAGCAGGUGACUGAUUUCUGGAUUUCUCUGAAUCAACUGCUGCAUCUGUGGAUUGGCCAUAAUGAGCUGCCUCAUUAGAUCGGGAUUUGAAAGCAUGCUCUGAACAAAGGGAUUUUCCAUGAUUUGAAUCAUCAUCUCAGGGCUGGACAGGAGCUGCUGCUGCAUCUGGUUCUGGAGCUCAGAGAAGUUGGUCGAGCUCAAGCCCAGGCUGCUAAGGCCUGCAAGUCCUCCUAAGCUCCCCAGCCCAAACGGGUUGCUAUUUGUGGAAACAGAUGUGGAGUUACUCCUGGGAGUCGACGCGGAGGUAGUAUUAGUUCCCGCGGCAUUACUAGGCUGUGUGGACUGGCCCUGAGGUCGGUUCUGGCUUUUAAUUACAAGAUGAACAGUCAGUCCAUCAUGGAUGCCAUGCUGAAUCAAGGUAUCUUGAUCUUUUAAGAUUUUUCCGGCAAAAAUCAACACUAGCUGGUCGGUUUGGGAUUUGAAGCGUUUUGAAAUCGCUUCCUUAAACUGCUGGACUGAGCUAUUCUCGGGCACCGCGAACUCCUCUUUCUCUUUGGGGGUCUUCACAGUAACUUUGAUGAUUUUGGGCUCGGCCGGGGCAGAGGCAGGGCCUUGGGCCGCGGCAGGGCCGCGGGAGGGGCGCGGGGGGCCGCUACUCUCGCCGUUCUCAGCCAUGGCGGCCGCGGUGACGCAGGCAGACAGAGAAGGCGCGGGCGGGCGAGAAAGAGAGCGAGGGAAGAAGGAAGGAAGGAGGCGCCACCACAGCAGGCUGAGCCGGGCGGGGAGCGCAGAGCACGGUACCUCUGUGAUGAGAACUGCGGUUUCCUGGUCCUCCGGUGGGGAGAAGACGCUGUAGGCCGCGGGAGAAGCGUCUGCGUUCAGGUCUCUGGGCCUCCUCCGACGCCGAGUGAUCGCACCGCGCGCGCUCCCAGCAACUCCUGCAGCUGCUCU